ensembl:lncRNA
UAGGGUAGGGCUUUGGGGCGACAGGGGGCUGUAGUGGGUUAUAGGGGUGGAUACUGGGGAUAUGGGGCUGUAGUGUUCUGUGGGGGCUAUUGGGAGGGAUGUGGGGCUAUCGGGGGCUUUAGUGGGGGCCGUAGAGGGAUAUAGGGCUGUGUGGGGUUGCUGGAAAAUAUGAAACUAUGGUGGCUGUAUGGGUGUGUGGGGCUUUAUGGAGCUUAAUUGUGUCUCUAGGUGGGCUAUGGGGCUCUGGAAAGCUGUGGGGGACUGUAGAAGGGGUAUUGGGGUGUAUGGGAAAAGAGAGGGCUGUGGUUGGGAUCUAGGGAUCUGUGGGCAGCUAUUGGGGGAUAUGGGGCUCUAGGGUGCUGCAGGGUCUUUACAGAGUGUUUUAGAGCUAUAUGGGGGAUAUAGGGGGACUUGGUUCUCUAGGGGGCUGUGGGGGUAUAGGGGUGAUAUGGGUGUGUAGGGGGCUUUGGGAGGAGCUCCACGGUUCUAUGAGGAGGUUGUAAGGGCUAUAGGUGUGUUCGAGGGGGAUAUGUGGCUCUGGGGGUUUGUGGCAACGUGGGAACAUUGAGGGUGCUAGGGGUUGGGGGGGGCUCUAGGGAAGGAUGUUGUGCUGUAGGAGAUUGUGGGGGCCUGAGGGAGGAUAUAGGGCGUCUGUGGGGAUAUAGAGGAGAUAUGGAGUCUAGAAGGGUUCUAUGGGGAUAUGAGGUUGGAUAUGGGAGACUGGGGGGUCUCUGUAGGGGGUCUAGGGUCAGUGUGGGUCUGUGUGGAGAUGUAAGGGGAGAUAAGGUUUUAGGGGGCUGGGGGACUGUAGAGAGGGCUUUAGGGCUGUAGGGGGGAUAUGGAGUGCUAUGUGGCUGCAGGGAGCUGGGGAAUAAUAUGGGGCUGAAGGGGGCUAUUGUGGGAGCAAUAUGGUUCUAUGGGGAGGCUAUAAGGCGCAGUGGCAGGGCUAUAGGGGGUUUAUGGGUGGUUAUGGGGUUAUAGAGGGCUGUGGGUGGGCUAUAGGAGGGUUCUAGCAGGGUAGGAGUCUAUAGGGGUCUGUGGAGGGGAUAUAGGGAGAUAUGGGGCAAUAGUGAAUUUUUAGGGGGUUGUGGCAGGCUGUGGGAAGGUAUAGGAUGAAAGGGGGCCGGGGAGGGUCUCUAGAGAGGGAUGUUAUGCUGGAAAAGGUAUGGGGGGCUAAAAGGGCCUGUGAAGGUUAUAGGGGGGCUGUGGCGGGCUCUUUGGGGAUAUAGGGAGAUAUGGGGCUAUCUUAGGGUGUAUGGAGGAUGUGGUUCUG